rnacentral:rRNA from 1 species
GAUGAACGCUGGCGGCGUGCCUAAUACAUGCAAGUCGAGCGAACGGACGAGAAGCUUGCUUCUCUGAUGUUAGCGGCGGACGGGUGAGUAACACGUGGAUAACCUACCUAUAAGACUGGGAUAACUUCGGGAAACCGGAGCUAAUACCGGAUAAUAUUUUGAACCGCAUGGUUCAAAAGUGAAAGACGGUCUUGCUGUCACUUAUAGAUGGAUCCGCGCUGCAUUAGCUAGUUGGUAAGAUAACGGCUUACCAAGGCAACGAUGCAUAGCCGACCUGAGAGGGUGAUCGGCCACACUGGAACUGAGACACGGUCCAGACUCCUACGGGAGGCAGCAGUAGGGAAUCUUCCGCAAUGGGCGAAAGCCUGACGGAGCAACGCCGCGUGAGUGAUGAAGGUCUUCGGAUCGUAAAACUCUGUUAUUAGGGAAGAACAUAUGUGUAAGUAACUGUGCACAUCUUGAUGGUACCUAAUCAGAAAGCCACGGCUAACUACGUGCCAGCAGCCGCGGUAAUACGUAGGUGGCAAGCGUUAUCCGGAAUUAUUGGGCGUAAAGCGCGCGUAGGCGGUUUUUUAAGUCUGAUGUGAAAGCCCACGGCUCAACCGUGGAGGGUCAUUGGAAACUGGAAAACUUGAGUGCAGAAGAGGAAAGUGGAAUUCCAUGUGUAGCGGUGAAAUGCGCAGAGAUAUGGAGGAACACCAGUGGCGAAGGCGACUUUCUGGUCUGUAACUGACGCUGAUGUGCGAAAGCGUGGGGAUCAAACAGGAUUAGAUACCCUGGUAGUCCACGCCGUAAACGAUGAGUGCUAAGUGUUAGGGGGUUUCCGCCCCUUAGUGCUGCAGCUAACGCAUUAAGCACUCCGCCUGGGGAGUACGACCGCAAGGUUGAAACUCAAAGGAAUUGACGGGGACCCGCACAAGCGGUGGAGCAUGUGGUUUAAUUCGAAGCAACGCGAAGAACCUUACCAAAUCUUGACAUCCUUUGACAACUCUAGAGAUAGAGCCUUCCCCUUCGGGGGACAAAGUGACAGGUGGUGCAUGGUUGUCGUCAGCUCGUGUCGUGAGAUGUUGGGUUAAGUCCCGCAACGAGCGCAACCCUUAAGCUUAGUUGCCAUCAUUAAGUUGGGCACUCUAAGUUGACUGCCGGUGACAAACCGGAGGAAGGUGGGGAUGACGUCAAAUCAUCAUGCCCCUUAUGAUUUGGGCUACACACGUGCUACAAUGGACAGUACAAAGGGCAGCGAAACCGCGAGGUCAAGCAAAUCCCAUAAAGUUGUUCUCAGUUCGGAUUGUAGUCUGCAACUCGACUACAUGAAGCUGGAAUCGCUAGUAAUCGUAGAUCAGCAUGCUACGGUGAAUACGUUCCCGGGUCU